GUCCAGCAGUUCGGCGUGGGCACUCUAAGGAGACUGCCGGUGACAAACCGGAGGAAGGUGGGGAUGACGUCAAGUCAUCAUGGCCCUUACGGCCUGGGCUACACACGUGCUACAAUGGUCGGUACAAAGGGUUGCCAAGCCGCGAGGUGGAGCUAAUCCCAUAAAACCGAUCGUAGUCCGGAUCGCAGUCUGCAACUCGACUGCGUGAAGUCGGAAUCGCUAGUAAUCGUGAAUCAGAAUGUCACGGUGAAUACGUUCCCGGGCCUU
rnacentral:rRNA from 1 species